AAAAAAAAAAAAAAAAAUUGGAGGAUACUGUAUGUUGAUGCAUUUACAGUGGAAGUAAUUGGGGACAAUUUUUGGAGGAUUUAAAAGCUGAAAUGUCAAGCUUGUAAUUAUACUUAAAACACAAUAAUUAUUCUGUUUUAAACAAAAAGUUGUUUAAAUCAUCAUAACAGUCGUUUUAGGGUUUUUGAUGUUUCUUUGUCAUGGCGACAGUUGUAAAAUUCUAUAUAAUUAUACACAGAAAAGGUUAGUAAGCAAUUUAAGACACUAAAUCAUGUAAACAUGCAUACUGUUUAUAUAAUAUGACUUUACUUUUGAAAUAGUGAGUAUUUAAGGUCAACAUGAAAUAAAAGUUCACCUUAUCUAUGUUCUAAAAUGCAUGUUAUUGUGAACAAUUCAUCGGUUAACAUUUUGACCUCAUAAUGUUUCGUCAAAAUGUAGAAAACUAGACCUUCUAGUGAAAACGACUGUGAUCUUUUCUGUGAUCACAUAUGCAGGACUUCUCCACUCAGUCUAAUCGAUCAGCAACCACUUCAUAGAACCAAGUACCACCCUACACUUUUUUCCUGUUUCGCUAAUCCAUUGCGUCUCAUUGUAAGCUUCUUUUUUAUAUAAAGAAAAAGAGGGACAAAUGGGAAUCAGAUUAGUUGAUGAACAUUGUCAAUUGAGCUUAACUUGUACUGAAUCUGUAAUAUUCCUUUAGGAGCAAGGCCAAACUGCUUUCUGAAUGUUAGAGAUUCUGGUUGAAGCAGGAGUGAAGACGAGCUGAGUUACUUGCUCUUGCAUUAUUGUGCCCACACCCUUGACUUAAAUUGGAGUUCUUCAAGGGGAACUGACUGUUUUUGCAAUUGGACCUCUGUAAAUCCCUUCAGAUAAAGCGUCUUUUAAACACUAGGACAGGAGUGUUAAGGAAGGAUUGUGUGGGUGCUGGAGCCAGACCCGGUCAAACAUUUCUUUGAAUUAUUUUGUUGAGUGACAGCGAAAGAAGAAGAGCGUGUCUUCGUGCUUCGCUUAGCAUUUGACGAGACUGUCACUUUAAUGAGACAGACCUUGCAAUGCGCCAACAGACGGUAUCACAUGAAUCGUUCUCUCUCUCUCUCAUCCAGUUCACAAAG
ensembl:lncRNA